UUUUCGAUGGGAGAUGGCAUGCCUCCUGUCCCAACCGCCGCAAGGCUGAUGAUGCCUACGCCACC
rnacentral:ncRNA from 2 species